AGCCGCGGAGGGUGAUAGCCCCGUGCACGUCAAUUCUUGUGGAGAUAGUGGAAUCCCGAGUAGGGCGGGACACGAGAAAUCCUGCCUGAAUUCGCCAGGACCUCCUGGCAAGGCUAAAUACUCCCGAGAGACCGAUAGUGAACCAGUACCGCGAGGGAAAGGUGAAAAGUACCCCGAGCAGGGGGGUGAAAUAGACCCUGAACCCGCGCGCCUACAAGCGGUCGGAGCUGCCUUGUGCAGUGACGGCGUGCCUUUUGCAUAAUGAGCCUACGAGUUAGUCGUCACCAGCGAGGUUAAGGGCUUCAGGCCCGUCAGCCGAAGUGAAAGCGAGCCUUAACAGGGCGUAAAGUUGGUGGCGCUAGACGCGAAACCUUGUGAUCUACCCACGAGCAGGUUGAAGUCGCGGUAACACGUGAUGGAGGACCGAACCGGUAAACGUUGAAAAGUUUUCGGAUGACUCGCGGGUAGGGGUGAAAGGCCAAUCAAACUGGGAAAUAGCUCGUACUCUCCGAAAUGCAUUUCGGUGCAGCCUGUGAUGUUCUGUUCCAGAGGUAGAGCUACUGGUUGGACGCGAGGGCUUCACCGCCUAUCAAAUCCGGAUAAACUCCGAAUGCUGGAACACGAAAUCAUGGAGUGAGCCCGCGGGUGCUAAGGUCCGCGGACGAGAGGGAAAGAACCCGGACCACCGGCUAAGGUCCCGGAUGGACAGUUAAGUUGAUCAAACGAGGUGGGAUCGCUGAGACAGCUAGGAUGUUGGCUUGGAAGCAGCCAUUCAUUUAAAGAGUGCGUAACAGCUCACUAGUCGAGCGAUCCCGCGUGGAUAAUACACGGGCAUCAAACUGUCAACCGAAGCCGUGGGGUUAGCUUUAUUGCUAACCGGUAGGAGAGCAUUCCUGCCAGCUUUGAAGGUCACCCGCGAGAGUGACUGGAGCGGCAUGAAAAGCAAAUGUAGGCAUAAGUAACGAUAAUGGGGGCGAGAACCCCCCACGCCGCAAGACCAAGGCUUCCCCGGCAAUGUCAAUCAGCCGGGGGUCAGCCGGCCUCUAAGGCUAACCCGAACGGGGAUGCCGACGAGAAACGGGUUAACAUUCCCGUGCUUCUCGUCACCGUGACGCGGUGACGGGGUGAUGAAUGGACCGCGCGCUGACGGAAUAGCGCGUUGAAGGCCGUACCCUUCGAGGGUGGUAGUCAAGCACGCCACCCGAGGCGACAGCCGAUAGUACCACGAGACUCCGGUCGAGUGGAUAGCGUCCAGGCAAUUUACCCCCGAGAAAACCCGCUAAACUUCAAGUGACGAGGAACCGUACCGUAAACGGACACACGUGGUCGGGUAGAACAUACCAAGGCGCUCGAGUGAUUCAUGGUCAAGGAACUAGGCAAAAUAGUCCUGUAACUUCGGGAAAAAGGACGCUCUAGUGAUAGAGCCGCAGAGUAAUGGCCCAGGCGACUGUUUACCAAAAACACAUGGCUAUGCCAAAUCGAAAGAUGACGUAUAUGGCCUGACACCUGCCCGGUGCCGGAAGGUUAAGAGGAGAGCUCAUCGGAAACGAGAAGGUUUGAAUUGAAGCCCCGGUAAACGGCGGCCGUAACUAUAACGGUCCUAAGGUAGCGAAAUUCCUUGUCGGGUAAGUUCCGACCUGCACGAAUGGUGUAACGAUCUGGGCACUGUCUCGACCAUGAGCUCGGUGAAAUUGUAGUUCCGGUGAAGAUGCCGGGUACCCGCGACGGGACGGAAAGACCCCGUGAACCUUUACUGCAGCUUCGCGUUGUUCCCGGGCACGGGACGUGUAGGAUAGGUCGGAGGCUACGAUUCGGUUUCGCCAGGAAUCGAGGAGCCAUCGUUGAAAUACGACCCUUCUCUUGUCUGGGAUCUAACCCUAGGUACAGGGGACACCGCGUGGUGGGUAGUUUGACUGGGGUGGUCGCCUCCAAAAGCGUAACGGAGGCUUCCAAAGGUACCCUCGGGUUGGUUGGUAAUCAACCUCAGAGUGCAAUGGCACAAGGGUGCUUGACCGGGAGACCAACGAGUCGAUCGGGUGCGAAAGCAGGGCAUAGUGAUCCGGUGAUCCCGCGUGGAAGGGUCAUCGCUCAAAGGAUAAAAGGUACUCCGGGGAUAACAGGCUGAUCGCCGCCAAGA
rnacentral:rRNA from 1 species